rnacentral:rRNA from 1 species
ACCCGCUGAAUUUAAGCAUAUCGGUAGGCGGAGGAAAAGAAACCAAAUGGGAUUCUCUCAGUAAUGGCGAAUGAAGACAGAGUAGUCCACAGUGAUAAUUGGGGCUUCUUCUGAUGCUCCGAGUUGUAUUCUGAAGGGAAGGUGCUCGUACUGACAUCGGCGAAAGUCUCGUGGAAACGAGCCCCAGUGAAGGUGAGAGGCCUGCACAUCGCUGCUUGUUUUGUACGAACAGUACCUCUUCCUGGAGUCACACUCUUUGGGAUUGGAGUGCUGGAUAGGUGGUAAAUCUCAUCUACGACUACAUAAAGGUCUGGAACCGAUAGCAGAGAAGUACCAUGAGGGAAAUGUGAAAAGGACUUUGAGAAGAGAGUUAAACAGUAUGUGAAACUGCUGAAAGGGAAGUGUAUGUAGAGCAUGCAAUUUGUGGUAAGAUUGUGCUGUCUUGGAUUCGACUUGAGGCUCUUUUGUUUUAAGUGGUGUCCUUCGGCGGCAUGUUUCUUUCCCAAUGAGCUAGCCAUUAUGUCCUUCAACGAAAACCAUGCUACUCCAUUUCUCUGCGGGGGCUUGGAGGGUCAUGCUGGGAUGUUGGAGGUAAAUGUGGUUGGUAAUGAUCUGCAUACGACCCGUCUUGAAACACGGACCAAGGAGUCUAGUACCUGUGCAAAUCAAGAGUCUUUAUACCUCUAGGUGUAAUGAAAGUGACUGCUGGGAUCUUUGCACCAGCGACCAGCCUGUACAUGAUACAACUCUGAGUUUGAGCACAAUUACUAGGACCCGAAAGGUGGUGAACUAUGCCUGUGAAAAGCAAAGCCAGGGGAAACUCUGGUGGAGGCUUGCUGCGGUACUGACGUGCAAAUCGUUCGUCGAACAUGGGUAUAGGGGCGAAAGACUAAUCGAACCAUCUAGUAGCUGGUUCCCUCCGAAGUUUCCCUCAGGAUAGCUGGAGUUGUGCAGUUUUAUCGGGUAAAGCGAAUGAUUAGAGGAAUCUGUGGCUUUGAUGCUGUAGACCUAUUCUCAAACUUUAAAUAGGUAAGCACCAGUGGUUGCCUUGUGGAACUUCUGGGGACAAUGUCAACUCUAAGUGGGCCAUUUUUGGUAAGCAGAACUGGCGAUGAGGGAUGAACCUAAAGCUUUGAUAAGGUGUUUAACUGCUCGUUCAUGAGAUUCCAUAAAGGGUGUUGGUUCAUAUAAACAGCAGGACGGUGGUCAUGGAAGUUGAAAUCCGCUAAGGAGUGUGUAACAACUCACCUGCCGAAU